UGUAUGGUUUGGUUUGAUUGAACCAAACUUGUUUCCCCCUUUGGUGCAGAUCUUUUAGGCAAGUGUGAAUACAGCAAUCACACUCGGGUAUGAACCAAACAACCGCACCGAGACCCAGCUGAAGAGGAAAGCCCUGCGCCUUUUUUGGUGGGCUCUCGUAGUUGGUGCAGAUUGUGUCUUUAAUUACACUGAUAACUACCUCAUAUGACAGACAAGCCUGUAGACAAAUGCACUGUGUACCCAGGCAGUAUUUUUAUUAUGUAACUAGUAUUGUGGCAGGUGUGUGACCAGAUCACAGACCAGACCAGUUGAACUGGACCCUGGAGUGUUUACCCCCUUGGUGUGGUUUGUUUGGGUUGGUGUGAAUGUUGAACUCAAACUCUAGAGGGGACCAAACAACCGCUCUCUGGUUCACCUUGAAUGGGUGGUCUUGGACUGCUGUCAAAUGAACUCUGGAGCAGUUAUUUUCUGCGGGAUGCCUCCUGAAUAUCUGGGCUGAAGAGAACGUUUCUCAAUUACUAGAGAAGCUUCUGAAGAGAGCUGAGAGUCAUGGUGGACAACACAUUGAGAGUCUGGCAGCUUCAGCAGUGACCAAAUGUUCACAGAGUGGGCUUUCUGAGCAGAGAGUCAACAGCUGUUUAUCUCAGAUCUACAAAACCAUGUGUCUGAAAUGCAGAUUAUGUUGGUAUAAAUAAAAUUAACAUUAUGUGGCUGAAGAGCACUAAUGCAGUUUGUUUUAUGUUUACUGUAAUCACAUUCAUUUUCCUGUAGUGUAACAAACUAUUUGCACAAGUAC